UGACCUCAAAUCAGGUACGAUAACCGCUGA
rnacentral:rRNA from 1 species